AGCUCACCUCCUGCCUUCCAUUCAACCGCGAGAUCCUGACCUUGGAAAAUGAGAUUAACAACACUGAAAGCAAACUGUCUUCAGGUCUCCGUCAUCUAGUUUGUGCUGAAGGACAAGCAACUGGCCAGAAUCCACAUGUUCUCCUGUUCAGCUUCCCCAAACAAUUGCUUUGAAAUACACGAAGCACUGCCAGACCUCAGUGAGUUGCAGCCCGCCCACACCUAGAACUAAAAUGUAACUCCAGAUCCCCACAGCUCCAGUUUAAUGCAAGUAUGAAGAAAGGCAGAGAGAAGAGAAUGAAGACUUCUUUAAAAAAGAAGUGCUACAAGAAUACAGAAGAAACCCAGAUGUCCUUGGAAGGGUGACAAAAAAUCAGAGUGUGAUUCAAGCAGACACUUGAUGAGAGGAGAGGAUCCUGGAGCAUGCUGUGGAGGCUCUGUCAGCCAGGUGUUGAUGUCCCUCAUCUCCUCUAAGGACCAGUGGCUCAGAAAUGACUUCUAGCAACCCAUCUAAACAAUUUCAGCUGGACAAGUGAUGUUUCCUGGAGCUGUGAAUGUAGGCUUCAUCCCUCCAGAGCCAUGCUUGGAUGCUGACCCACAUGGAGGAGAGUUUAGCUAUCUCUGCCACACAGUCCUUCAUGUGAGGAGGCUUUUCUGAGUGAUUUAAGAGGGUUGUGGAAAAAAUGGCAAAAAGGGCAGCAGCAGCUGAAGAGUUUGGCAGGCCAAGGAGUACAUACCCCAGCUGCA